AGUGUAUCCUUUUCGUAUAAGGUUUAUAUAGCUUUUGAAAAAAAAAUCACAAAAGCUGAAUGGACUACAUAUAUUUAUUGUUUGUGACAUAUUUUUCAUGCUCAAUUUCAUUAACAUCGACUUCAGACACAAACAUUUGUAAGGAUUCAAAUGGAACACAAAGUUGUUGUCAAGACUACAAGAAUAUUUCAGGAAAGUGCACAGCUUGCAUUGGUUCUUAUGGUCAGGAUUGUUCAAAUCCAUGUACGUAUGGAUACUACGGCCAUGGGUGUCGUGAUCGGUGUGACUGCAGUGAAAAUCAGAUAUGUGAUAAAAGAAGAGGUUGUUUGGUUUUGCAUGAUGAUUAUUUUAAAAAUAUAACUAAAGGUGAUUAUAAAAAAUCCGAGGAAAGCAGCCACAGUUCACAAUCCAUAAUAAUAAUUAUUUGUGGUGUUCUUGCUCUUGUCCUCAUCGCUUUGGGAAUGAUAUG